rnacentral:tRNA from 1 species
UGAUAUGGCUCAGUUGGUAGAGCAGCUCAUUCGUAAUGAGCAGGUCGUGGGUUCGAGUCCCACUAUCA